rnacentral:rRNA from 1 species
AACGCUAGCUACAGGCUUAACACAUGCAAGUCGAGGGGCAGCAUGAACAUAGCUUGCUAUGUUUGAUGGCGACCGGCGCACGGGUGCGUAACACGUAUCCAAUCUACCCAUGGCUCGGGGAUAGCCUUUCGAAAGAAAGAUUAAUACUCGAUGGUCUCGGUUUAAGGCAUCUUAGACUGAGUAAAGAUUUAUCGGCGAUGGAUGAGGAUGCGUCUGAUUAGGUAGAUGGCGGGGUAACGGCCCACCAUGCCUACGAUCAGUAGGGGUUCUGAGAGGAAGGUCCCCCACAUUGGAACUGAGACACGGUCCAAACUCCUACGGGAGGCAGCAGUGAGGAAUAUUGGUCAAUGGACGAGAGUCUGAACCAGCCAAGUAGCGUGAAGGAUGACUGCCCUAUGGGUUGUAAACUUCUUUUGUUUGGGAAUAAAGUUCGGGACGUGUCCCGUUUUGUAUGUACCAUUCGAAUAAGCAUCGGCUAAUUCCGUGCCAGCAGCCGCGGUAAUACGGAAGAUGCGAGCGUUAUCCGGAUUUAUUGGGUUUAAAGGGAGCGUAGGCGGCCUGUUAAGUCAGCGGUUAAAUGUCAGUGCCCAACAUUGGCAUGCCGUUGAUACUGGUGGGCUUGAAUACACACAAGGAUGGUGGAAUUCGUUGUGUAGCGGUGAAAUGCUUAGAUAUGACGAAGAACUCCGAUUGCGAAGGCAGCCAUCUGGGGUGCGAUUGACGCUGAGGCUCGAAAGUGUGGGUAUCAAACAGGAUUAGAUACCCUGGUAGUCCACACGGUAAACGAUGAAUACUCGCUGUUGGCGAUAGACUGUCAGCGGCCAAGCGAAAGCAUUAAGUAUUCCACCUGGGGAGUACGCCGGCAACGGUGAAACUCAAAGGAAUUGACGGGGGCCCGCACAAGCGGAGGAACAUGUGGUUUAAUUCGAUGAUACGCGAGGAACCUUACCCGGGCUUAAAUUGCAGAGGACAGGUCUAGAGAUAGACUCUUCUUCGGACCUCUGUGAAGGUGCUGCAUGGUUGUCGUCAGCUCGUGCCGUGAGGUGUCGGCUUAAGUGC